UGGGGAAUUUUGGACAAUGGGCGAAAGCCUGAUCCAGCAAUGCCGCGUGUGUGAAGAAGGCCUUCGGGUUGUAAAGCACUUUUGUCCGGAAAGAAAUCCUUGGCUCUAAUACAGUCGGGGGAUGACGGUACCGGAAGAAUAAGCACCGGCUAACUACGUGCCAGCAGCCGCGGUAAUACGUAGGGUGCAAGCGUUAAUCGGAAUUACUGGGCGUAAAGCGUGCGCAGGCGGUUUGCUAAGACCGAUGUGAAAUCCCCGGGCUCAACCUGGGAACUGCAUUGGCGACUGGCAGGCUAGAGUAUGGCAGAGGGGGGUAGAAUUCCACGUGUAGCAGUGAAAUGCGUAGAGAUGUGGAGGAAUACCGAUGGCGAAGGCAGCCCCCUGGGCCAAUACUGACGCUCAUGCACGAAAGCGUGGGGAGCAAACAGGAUUAGAUACCCUGGUAGUCCACGCCCUAAACGAUGUCAACUAGUUGUUGGGGAUUCAUUUCCUUAGUAACGUAGCUAACGCGUGAAGUUGACCGCCUGGGGAGUACGGUCGCAAGAUUAAAACUCAAAUGAAUUGACGGGGUCAUA
rnacentral:rRNA from 1 species